rnacentral:rRNA from 1 species
AUGCCGGCAAUGCGUGCGGCCUUGCGGAAGGCGAAGUGUGUCUGGUCGGAGCAGUGGACCACUAGGUCGGAGAUCCUGUUCCCGCCGAUCUCGGCGAGUUUCCGGUCCCUCGCGGCCACGAGUGUGCAGAGUAUCGCCUCGCACGAGGUACCAAGAAGAGUUCCACCGCCGCCUCCGGCGAAGAGGAGACUCUUCGGCAGGUGCAGCGCCUUGCCGAGCCAGUCCACGACCAGCAUCUCAAGCUCGGUGGCGGAGGGCGAGGCGGCCCACGUGAACAGGACGAUGUUGAUGCCCGCUGUGAGCGCCUCUCCUAGGGCGCCGAUGGUGCUGCUGGACGCCGGGAAGUGCGCCAUGUGGCGGGCGCUCUGCCAGUGCGUCAGGCCCGGGAGGAUCAUGUCGCGAACGUCCUUGAGCGCAGAGCUGAAUGCGUCCGGCUCCGGACGGAAGGGUGCCACUGGUGGAAAAAGGGCCUUUGGUCGCGGUUCGCAACUGCCAUUAGUCGCGGUUGCGCAACCGCGACCGAACGGGCGCGACUGA